AUGCCUAUUUCUCUCCACUUCAUCUCCCAAAGCCGUGCCUCAAGCGCUUCAUCUCUUUCUCCACCCACGCACACCUACAUGCACACAAACAAGAGGAAAAGGAAACCUACAGGAGAAACAUUCCCUGGUCUAAAUUGUUUAGUUCUUCACCGUUUCCAAAUUUCAGCGCCAUGGACGCCGGUGCUCUAUCCUGGUGAUUUAGGCGAUCCAUGUUCGAGUCCUUGCGCCAAAAUAUUCUGGUCCAUGCCGCAGCUCCAUUCAGAGAAGAAACAACGUGUUCCGUCGAGCAUAUGCGGAGAAUUUUUCAAGGAGUGA
rnacentral:rRNA from 1 species